GUAUGGGUACGAACAGCCUUGUAAACAAAUCCACCUCUAGUGCAGAACGAUUUGUUAGCAAUGUACUCUUGUGUACUAGUCCACUCUGGGAUGCCCUUCUGUAGCAAAUACGCUAGGUUAGUAUCGUGAAGGUUCCACUUCCAGUUCCACCAUUGGCGAGGAACCGACUGAAUACCCCAUCCGCCUUGCUGCUGCGCAGGGGUCGGGGCUACCAUAUCCCCGCCUGUGGACCAAAUAUUUUCAAUAGGUAGUUGACUGUAAUCAGCCAUUUAUAACUCCUUAUGUCACUAGGUUGGUCAGAAUUCCACCAACAGUGGGAUCGUUUAGGUCUCCAACGCCUUGUCCUCCGGGGAAGCCUUCUGUAGCAAAUACCCGGCCAGC
rnacentral:sRNA from 1 species